rnacentral:rRNA from 1 species
AAAUUGAAGAGUUUGAUCAUGGCUCAGAUUGAACGCUGGCGGCAGGCCUAACACAUGCAAGUCGAACGGUAACAGGAAGCAGCUUGCUGCUUUGCUGACGAGUGGCGGACGGGGGAGUAAUGUCUGGGAAACUGCCUGAUGGAGGGGGAUAACUACUGGAAACGGUAGCUAAUACCGCAUAACGUCGCAAGACCAAAGAGGGG